GAUGAACGCUGGCGGCGUGCCUAACACAUGCAAGUCGAGCGAAGCGGGGACGGGUGAGUAACACGUGGAUAACCUCCUAUAAGACUGGGUUAACUUCGGGAAACCGGAGCAAUCCCGGAUACUUCUAGAUGGAUCCGCGCUGCAUUAGCUAGUUGGUAAGGUAACGGCUUACCAAGGCAACGUUGCAUAGCCGACCGGAGAGGGUGAUCGGCCACACUGGAACUGAGACACGGUCCAGACUCCUACGGGAGGCAGCAGUAGGGAAUCUUGCGCAAUGGGCGAAAGCCUGACGGAGCAACGCCGCGUGUGUGAUGAAGGUCUUCGGGUCGUAAAGCUCUGUUAUUAGGGAAGCGGUACCUAAUCAGAAAGCCACGGCUAACUACGUGCCAGCAGCCGCGGUAAUUC
rnacentral:rRNA from 1 species